rnacentral:miRNA from 1 species
CUGGGUUGGGCUGGGCUGGG